AGAGUUUGAUCAUGGCUCAGGACGAACGCUGGCGGCGUGCCUAAUACAUGCAAGUUGAGCGAUGAAGAUUGGUGCUUGCACCAAUUUGAAGAGCAGCGAACGGGUGAGUAACGCGUGGGGAAUCUGCCUUUGAGCGGGGGACAACAUUUGGAAACGAAUGCUAAUACCGCAUAACAACUUUAAACAUAAGUUUUAAGUUUGAAAGAUGCAAUUGCAUCACUCAAAGAUGAUCCCGCGUUGUAUUAGCUAGUUGGUGAGGUAAAGGCUCACCAAGGCGAUGAUACAUAGCCGACCUGAGAGGGUGAUCGGCCACAUUGGGACUGAGACACGGCCCAAACUCCUACGGGAGGCAGCAGUAGGGAAUCUUCGGCAAUGGACGAAAGUCUGACCGAGCAACGCCGCGUGAGUGAAGAAGGUUUUCGGAUCGUAAAACUCUGUUGGUAGAGAAGAACGUUGGUGAGAGUGGAAAGCUCAUCAAGUGACGGUAACUACCCAGAAAGGGACGGCUAACUACGUGCCAGCAGCCGCGGUAAUACGUAGGUCCCGAGCGUUGUCCGGAUUUAUUGGGCGUAAAGCGAGCGCAGGUGGUUUAUUAAGUCUGGUGUAAAAGGCAGUGGCUCAACCAUUGUAUGCAUUGGAAACUGGUAGACUUGAGUGCAGGAGAGGAGAGUGGAAUUCCAUGUGUAGCGGUGAAAUGCGUAGAUAUAUGGAGGAACACCGGUGGCGAAAGCGGCUCUCUGGCCUGUAACUGACACUGAGGCUCGAAAGCGUGGGGAGCAAACAGGAUUAGAUACCCUGGUAGUCC
rnacentral:rRNA from 1 species